GAUGAACGCUGGCGGCGUGCCUAAUACAUGCAAGUCGAGCGAACAGACGAGGAGCUUGCUCCUCUGACGUUAGCGGCGGACGGGUGAGUAACACGUGGAUAACCUACCUAUAAGACUGGGAUAACUUCGGGAAACCGGAGCUAAUACCGGAUAAUAUAUUGAACCGCAUGGUUCAAUAGUGAAAGACGGCUUUGCUGUCACUUAUAGAUGGAUCCGCGCCGCAUUAGCUAGUUGGUAAGGUAACGGCUUACCAAGGCAACGAUGCGUAGCCGACCUGAGAGGGUGAUCGGCCACACUGGAACUGAGACACGGUCCAGACUCCUACGGGAGGCAGCAGUAGGGAAUCUUCCGCAAUGGGCGGAAGCCUGACGGAGCAACGCCGCGUGAGUGAUGAAGGUCUUCGGAUCGUAAAACUCUGUUAUUAGGGAAGAACAAAUGUGUAAGUAACUAUGCACGUCUUGACGGUACCUAAUCAGAAAGCCACGGCUAACUACGUG
rnacentral:rRNA from 1 species